rnacentral:tRNA from 1 species
GCGCCCGUAGCUCAGCUGGAUAGAGCAACGGUUUUCUAAACCGUUGGCCGCGUGUUCGAAUCACGCCGGGGACACCA